CACGUGGCAGGAGCGAGCUCAGAGCGGCAAGGAUCAUGUGGGGGAACAUAGUUUGUGUCCUGCCUUCUCCACCUUACCAGGAAAGGUUGUGUCUAAUGCAUAUUAGAAUUCAAAGUGAUUGCUGCUGAGUGAUCUGAUUUUCUCCCAGUUAGAGCUGGAGAAACAGAAACAAUUAUCUUCUUGAUUUUGGAGGAUGAAGACCUUUGUGAAUGCUGCUGUGUAUUUGGAAAUAUUGCUACAGAAAUACAUUUUUAAAGUUCCUGUAUAUUGAAAAAUAGCCCUGCAUAAACAAAUUAACAACCACCACCCCCGGCCUGUCUGCUGUGGCUAAUCAUCUAGGAAGUGGGGAGGUGGCUGAAGAUGGGAAGGGAGGCAGCCUUGCAUUGCCGGGCAUUUGGCUUGGGAAUCUUGCAAGACUUGAUAUGAACAGAGGACCUAUGGACACCCUAGUUCUUACCUUCUGUAACCUGCCUUAUGUCAAUAAAAAUGCAUUUUUUUAAAAAAGCAGCUGCCAGCUUGGAAGACCACUGCCCCCAGCUCUCUGACAUUGCCUAAUUAACACUCUGCAUUUUACCUGCCCCUCGAUUUGACCUGCAAGUUCAAAUGAGAACUUUUGUCUCAGCCUUAAUAUUACAAUCAUGCCCACCAUACUAGGUUUAAUAGGUAACAGGGCUGGUUCCAGGUUGCCCAAGUGAGCCCUGCAUAAAGACCUGUGCUGGCCCUUCUGCUAGUGUGUUGCACCAUCUUAGUUGUUU